rnacentral:misc_RNA from 1 species
AAGUCGUAACAAGGUUUCCGUAGGUGAACCUGCGGAAGGAUCAUUAACAAAUCAAGAUUGUCGAGCCUUAACCGGCUUGACAUAUUAACCCGAACCCGGGCUUGUGCUUAUGCGCAGCCUGGGCAAGGUGCGCACGGAGCAAUCCGUGUGCGGUGACGUCGCAGAGGGGUAAAGCCCUAGGCUACAGAUCCACAUUGACGCUUGUAUGUUUGACAGAGUUAGUUGACACUUUAAAAUGACAACUUUUAACAAUGGAUCUCUUGGCUCUU